rnacentral:rRNA from 1 species
AUGAACGCUAGCUACAGGCUUAACACAUGCAAGUCGAGGGGCAGCAUGGUCUUAGCUUGCUAAGGCCGAUGGCGACCGGCGCACGGGUGAGUAACACGUAUCCAACCUGCCGUCUACUCUUGGACAGCCUUCUGAAAGGAAGAUUAAUACAAGAUGGCAUCAUGAGUCCGCAUGUUCACAUGAUUAAAGGUAUUCCGGUAGACGAUGGGGAUGCGUUCCAUUAGAUAGUAGGCGGGGUAACGGCCCACCUAGUCUUCGAUGGAUAGGGGUUCUGAGAGGAAGGUCCCCCACAUUGGAACUGAGACACGGUCCAAACUCCUACGGGAGGCAGCAGUGAGGAAUAUUGGUCAAUGGGCGAGAGCCUGAACCAGCCAAGUAGCGUGAAGGAUGACUGCCCUAUGGGUUGUAAACUUCUUUUAUAAAGGAAUAAAGUCGGGUAUGGAUACCCGUUUGCAUGUACUUUAUGAAUAAGGAUCGGCUAACUCCGUGCCAGCAGCCGCGGUAAUACGGAGGAUCCGAGCGUUAUCCGGAUUUAUUGGGUUUAAAGGGAGCGUAGAUGGAUGUUUAAGUCAGUUGUGAAAGUUUGCGGCUCAACCGUAAAAUUGCAGUUGAUACUGGAUAUCUUGAGUGCAGUUGAGGCAGGCGGAAUUCGUGGUGUAGCGGUGAAAUGCUUAGAUAUCACGAAGAACUCCGAUUGCGAAGGCAGCCUGCUAAGCUGCAACUGACAUUGAGGCUCGAAAGUGUGGGUAUCAAACAGGAUUAGAUACCCUGGUAGUCCGCACGGUAAACGAUGGAUGCCCGCUGUUGGUCUGAAUAGGUCAGCGGCCAAGCGAAAGCGUUAAGUAUUCCACCUGGGGAGUACGCCGGCAACGGUGAAACUCAAAGGAAUUGACGGGGGCCCGCACAAGCGGAGGAACAUGUGGUUUAAUUCGAUGAUACGCGAGGAACCUUACCCGGGCUUAAAUUGCAGAUGAAUUACGGUGAAAGCCGUAAGCCGCAAGGCAUCUGUGAAGGUGCUGCAUGGUUGUCGUCAGCUCGUGCCGUGAGGUGUCGGCUUAAGUGCCAUAACGAGCGCAACCCUUGUUGUCAGUUACUAACAGGUUCUGCUGAGGACUCUGACAAGACUGCCAUCGUAAGAUGUGAGGAAGGUGGGGAUGACGUCAAAUCAGCACGGCCCUUACGUCCGGGGCUACACACGUGUUACAAUGGGGGGUACAGAGGGCCGCUACCACGCGAGUGGAUGCCAAUCCCAAAAACCUCUCUCAGUUCGGACUGGAGUCUGCAACCCGACUCCACGAAGCUGGAUUCGCUAGUAAUCGCGCAUCAGCCACGGCGCGGUGAAUACGUUCCCGGGCCUUGUACACACCGCCCGUCAAGCCAUGGGAGCCGGGGGUACCUGAAGUGCGUAACCGCGAGGAGCGCCCUAGGGUAAAACUGGUGACUGGGGCU